CAUGUAUGACUUUCUCCUACGCCGCUACACAAAGACGUGUUUUAUGCCACUCCUUCCUUGUCUCAUUUUGUCCACUAAACGUUUUUGUGGACAAAACGCACAAAGAAAUCCUUUUUCAUUUCAGUGUAAAUGUCCAGACAUGCCUGAUGAGGACGAUGACAGAAGGUGUCUGGGCCAUGGCUCCCACCAGGCUGCACACGCAGAUGACGCACAGGAAGAUGAGAAAGGUCUCCUGGCAGCCAGCCGUCGGACAUUUUCCUGGAACAGCUGUGGCUAACUCGCUGUCAGCAGAUAUACACGAACAUCCACUCAGGUUCUGCGGAGGCAAAAAAAAAAAAAAAAAGGCCAAUUACAGGUACCUGAGCGAGGUUGUGGGUGCAGCCGGCGAAGCAGCCCGACAGGUAGGUGACGCCGUUGGAGCCGCAUACGGGACUGAUGGAGGAGGUGAAGCAGUUGCAGUGAUUGAAGCACGGAGCUUCUGGUUUGUCGCCCACCUGCAGAGUACUUCAACACACACAAGCAUUUGCACCGCGCACCCCUGAGUUGCUGACAGCAGGUGGGGCUGUUGGCCAGCUCGUGGUUGCUCAUGGCACCGUUGCUGGUCUUUGGAGCCUCAUAGUCUGGACUCAAAGGAGCAGCAGGAGGAAGCAUGGUCUGCUCACUGUCCGGCCCCUCC